rnacentral:rRNA from 1 species
GGCAGCAGUGGGGAAUAUUGGACAAUGGGCGAAAGCCUGAUCCAGCCAUGCCGCGUGUGUGAAGAAGGUCUUCGGAUUGUAAAGCACUUUAAGUUGGGAGGAAGGGCAGUAACCUAAUACCUUAGUGUUUUGACGUUACCGACAGAAUAAGCACCGGCUAACUUCGUGCCAGCAGCCGCG